ensembl:lncRNA
GUCCGUCCAAUGCGGACAGGGGGCAUAGCCUACCAUCUCUGGUCACUCCCAGGGGCGGUAGUGCAAGUGAUAGUGUAGAAGAGAAAGAAGGGACUGGCUUUGAGUGCAGGGGGAGGGAUCAAAUGACGGACUGGAAUGGGAUUAGAUCGGAGGCUCUGGGGAAGGGUAUAGUUCCAGAGGCAUUCCCGGUGAUUGUGAGUGAUCAUGGUCCCGAAUGGGUGCCACCUGACCCCGGGGUGUUACGCGCCUGGUGGAAUUUAUGGAUAAAAGAGGCCUGAAAUCGCCUCUGACAUUAAAUGCACUACAAACUUUGGCUGCACUGGGGGGGCAUAGCCUACUGUCUCUGGUCACUCCCAGGGGCGGUAGUGCGAGUGAUAGUGUAGAGGAGAAAGAAGGGACUGGCUUUGAGUGCAGGGGGAGGGAUCAAAUGACGGACUGGAAUGGGAUUAGAUCGGAGGCUUUGGGAAAGGGUAUAGUUCCAGAGGCAUUCCGGGUGAUUGUGAGUGAUCGUGGUCCCGAAUGGGUGCCGCCUGACCCCGGGGGUGUUACGCGCCUGGUGGAAUUUAUGGAUAAAAGAGGCCUGAAAUCGCCUCUGACAUUAAAUGCACUACAAACUUUGGCUGCACUGGGGCCUCUCUUCCCCCGUGACAUCACAAACUUAAUGCGUACGGUGCUCAGGCUGGUUCAGUAUACGUUAUGGGAGACGGACUGGGUGGCCGAGUUGGGGGGCCGUGCCGGGGCGACAGGGGUCGGCUCGCGCCGCUCCCUGCAUGGGACCGGAAUCCAGCGGCUUUCAGGGAAGGCCGUGGGAGUGGCUUCGCCCCAGGGCCAGCUAGCGAGACUAAGGCCAGGGGAGCUAAUAGCAGCCACAAAUGCAACGGUGGAAGCGUUUAAUAAACUUGUGCAUAAGGCCGAACCACCUACUCCGUGCACAGAUAUUACCCAGGGCCCGAAUGAAUCCUUUCAAAGCUUUACAGACAGGCUUUUAGCUGCUGCAGAGGGGUCUGAUCUCCUGGAACCGGCCCAAGGGCCAGUGAUCAUUGACUGCUUGCAGCAGAAAUCGCAUGACAAUGUUAAGGCAUUGCUGCGAGCCGGCCGAAGUACGCUUAAUACCUCGGGAGCCGGCCGAAGUACGCUUAAUACCUCGGGAGAAGUUAUUCAGUAUGUCUUAGAUAAGCUCAAGGUGGCUCAUUUAACUAAUGAAAGGCUAGUCACAGCUAUUGUCGUAGCUGCUGGCCUGCGACAGCAAAGAUCGCUGCAGCAGCAAGGGCUGUGUUUCCGAUACGGCCAGUAUGGCCAUGUUAGAGCACAAUGCCCCUGUGGGGGAGGCCAGUCAGGGCCUCCUGAUCACAGGAAGGGCUUGCUGAAGGGUAUCCGUGGUCGGGUAUGCAGCAGUUAAACAUCAUGAAUCUGGGAAAUUCUGUGGGUACCAUCGCGAAAAGUAAUACCAGAUAUAAGUAGCAUAUCUGCAAAAACUGAGUCUAGGUGCGAGUUUUCUACAGAAAUUCUUCGUUGGCAGACCGAAGCCAACUCCAGAACAACUGAGGGACAGACGAUGGGAUCAAGAACCACUCGUCAAGAGGAGCACUACACCUGCAACGCUGACACUUCCGAUGUUGCUGAUAUUUAUGGUGUCCAUGGCGAUUACAGAGUGUCACAAACAACUACAAUGGACACAAGAACAUAUGCAGAAAAUUAAAGAAGAGCGUGAUCCCUUUGGAAGCUGGCUGGACGGACUGUUUGGGGGAACGGGUUCAUGGUUAAAGCAAUUGCUUAAAGCUCUCGCAGUAGGAUUUGCAAUCUUUGUGUGUAUUCUAAUCUGUCUUCCAUGCUUUGUAGGAUGCUUGCAGAACUGCCUUCAACGAAUGAUGGACAAGACUUUUGACUAUCACAUUGAGUAUCAUAGAUUGCGUGAAAAAUUAUAGAGGGGUUUAGGUUGUUGCGUUCGUGCUGUAACGGGGCAAGGCUUGGCCGAGCACGGGAAAGAAUUCCCUGUUGCUCUGAUGAUUGCUUAAGAACUGUAGUAGAAAAUAGUAGGAAUAGUGUGCUGAAAUAUAUUUAGGAUUAGGCGUUUUGCGCUGCUUCGCGAUGUACGGGUUAGGUG